CAUAUACACUUUCCAGGAUAUAUUUCCAUAGAGCAAUGCAAGUCUCCAGCACUAAUCAGGAGUGUGCUUGGCCAAGUUACUACACUGUUCGCAGAUGGGGUGUUGAGAUCACGGAAGAGACUGGGCUCACGUACAGACGGAACUGCAGCCACGACCUGGACAAACCUCUCAGCUUCUUCCCAUCGUCCACACUGCCUACUGCAGGUUGGAACAGAACAGAAAAGAAAUUCAUUGCUUUUUCAGUCUACCAACCAUAUAAGAGCAUGGGCGCUCCCAGGGAGCCACAGGACUGACUGGAGAAGAUGAAGCUCGACUUGGAAUUUGGUGCUGAUCCACGGGAUGCAGAGGAUCAGCAGUGCUUAUCCAGUGUGGUCGGGAUAUUUAAUGGAAAGGUUUUCUCUAAUAAUGCAUUGAAAUCCUAUACAUGUGACUGUUUUUGGGAAACAACAAUUUGUUGCGUAAAUUGCGGGUAUACAGCCCAAAGAAUUUUUAAAAACCAAACAUACCCAUAUAAUCAGCACCUGGGUCAAGAAACAGAACAUCCCCAGCUCCCUGGAAGCAUUUGUUAUGCCUCUUUCCUGUCUUUAACAGUGACCCUCCUGAUUUCUCUGAAAUUUGCAUAUUUUUAAACUGUAUAUAAAUAAAAUUAUGCAUGUGUACUGUC
rnacentral:lncRNA from 1 species